UACGUAGGGGGCAAGCGUUAUCCGGAUUUACUGGGUGUAAAGGGAGCGUAGACGGUGAUGCAAGUCUGAAGUGAAAGGCGGGGGCCCAACCCCCGGACUGCUUUGGAAACUGUAUAGCUGGAGUGCAGGAGAGGUAAGUGGAAUUCCUAGUGUAGCGGUGAAAUGCGUAGAUAUUAGGAGGAACACCAGUGGCGAAGGCGGCUUACUGGACUGUAACUGACGUUGAGGCUCGAAAGCGUGGGGAGCAAACAGG
rnacentral:rRNA from 1 species